rnacentral:rRNA from 1 species
AACGAACGCUGGCGGCAUGCCUAACACAUGCAAGUCGAACGAUUGCCUUCGGGUGGUAGUGGCGCACGGGUGCGUAACGCGUGGGAAUCUGCCCUUAGGUUCGGAAUAACAGCUGGAAACGGCUGCUAAUACCGGAUGAUAUCGCGAGAUCAAAGAUUUAUCGCCUGAGGAUGAGCCCGCGUUGGAUUAGGUAGUUGGUGGGGUAAAGGCCUACCAAGCCGACGAUCCAUAGCUGGUCUGAGAGGAUGAUCAGCCACACUGGGACUGAGACACGGCCCAGACUCCUACGGGAGGCAGCAGUGGGGAAUAUUGGACAAUGGGCGCAAGCCUGAUCCAGCAAUGCCGCGUGAGUGAUGAAGGCCCUAGGGUUGUAAAGCUCUUUUACCCGGGAAGAUAAUGACUGUACCGGGAGAAUAAGCCCCGGCUAACUCCGUG